rnacentral:misc_RNA from 1 species
GAUGAAGAACGCAGCGAAAUGCGAUAAGUAAUGCGAAUUGCAGAAUUCAGUGAGUCAUCGAAUCUUUGAACGCACAUUGCGCCCCUUGGUAUUCCGAGGGGCAUGCCUGUUCGAGCGUCAUUAUAACCCCUCAAGCUCAGCUUGGUGUUGGGGCCUGCUGCACUGGCAGCCCUUAAAAUCAGUGGCGGCGCCAUCUGGCUCUAAGCGUAGUAAUUCUUCUCGCUAUGGAGUCCUGGUGGAUGCUUGCCAUCAACCCCCAAUUUUUCUAUGGUUGACCUCGGAUCAGGUAGGGAUACCCGCUGAACUUAAGCAUAUCAAUAAGCGGAGGA